CAGUAGCCGCGGUAAUACAGAGGGUGCAAGCGUUAAUCGGAAUUACUGGGCGUAAAGCGCGCGUAGGUGGUUUGUUAAGUUUGAUGUGAAAUCCCCGGGCUCAACCUGGGAACUGCAUCCAAAACUGGCAAGCUAUAGUAUGGUAGAGGGUGGUGGAAUUUCCUGUGUAGCGGUGAAAUGCGUAGAUAUAGGAAGGAACACCAGUGGCGAAGGCGACCACCUGGACUGAUACUGACACUGAGGUGCGAAAGCGUGGGGAGCAAACAGGAUUAGAUACCCCAGUAGUCCCUGUCUCUUAUAC
rnacentral:rRNA from 1 species